UACGUAGGGGGCAAGCGUUGUCCGGAUUUAUUGGGCGUAAAGAGCUCGUAGGCGGUUUGUCGCGUCUGCUGUGAAAACUCGGGGCUUAACUCCGGGCCUGCAGUGGGUACGGGCAGACUAGAGUGCGGUAGGGGAGACUGGAAUUCCUGGUGUAGCGGUGAAAUGCGCAGAUAUCAGGAGGAACACCGGUGGCGAAGGCGGGUCUCUGGGCCUGUACUGACGCUGAGGAGCGAAAGCGUGGGGAGCGAACAGG
rnacentral:rRNA from 1 species